GACUACCGGGGUAUCAAACAGGAUUAGAUACCCUGGUAGUCCGCACAGUAAACGAUGAAUACUCGCGGUUGGCGAUAUACUGUCAGCCGCCAAGCGAAAGCGUUAAGUAUUCCACCUGGGGAGUACGCCGGCAACGGUGAAACUCAAAGGAAUUGACGGGGGCCCGCACAAGCGGAGGAACAUGUGGUUUAAUUCGAUGAUACGCGAGGAACCUUACCCGGGCUUGAACUGAGGGGGAAUGAGCCAGAGAUGACUCAGUCUUCGGACUCCCUUGGAGGUGCUGCAUGGUUGUCGUCAGCUCGUGCCGUGAGGUGUCGGCUUAAGUGCCAUAACGAGCGCAACCCUCAUCCUCGUUUGCCAUCAGGUAAUGCUGGGCACUCCGGGGAUACUGCCAUCGUAAGAUGUGAGGAAGGUGGGGAUGACGUCAAAUCAGCACGGCCCUUACGUCCGGGGCUACACACGUGUUACAAUGGGCGGUACAGAGGGCAGCCCCCCGUAGG
rnacentral:rRNA from 1 species